GACGAACGCUGGCGGCGUGCCUAACACAUGCAAGUCGAACGGAGCUGUUUUGAAAGAUUUCUUCGGAAUGAAUUUGAUUUAGUUUAGUGGCGGACGGGUGAGUAACGCGUGAGUAACCUGCCUUCAAGAGGGGAAUAACAUUCUGAAAAGAAUGCUAAUACCGCAUGACAUAUCGGAACCACAUGGUUUUGAUAUCAAAGAUUUUAUCGCUUGAAGAUGGACUCGCGUCCGAUUAGUUAGUUGGUGAGGUAACGGCUCACCAAGACCGCGAUCGGUAGCCGGACUGAGAGGUUGAACGGCCACAUUGGGACUGAGACACGGCCCAGACUCCUACGGGAGGCAGCAGUGGGGGAUAUUGCGCAAUGGGGGCAACCCUGACGCAGCAACGCCGCGUGAAGGAUGAAGGUUUUCGGAUUGUAAACUUCUUUUAUUAAGGACGAAAAAUGACGGUACUUAAUGAAUAAGCUCCGGCUAACUACGUG
rnacentral:rRNA from 1 species